GGGGCUGAUUCUGGAUUCGACGGGAUUUGCGAAACCCAAGGUGCAUGCCGAGGGGCGGUUGGCCUCGUAAAAAGCCGCAAAAAAAUAGUCGCAAACGACGAAACCUACGCUUUAGCAGCUUAAUAACCUGCUUAGAGCCCUCUCUCCCUAGCCUCCGCUCUUAGGACGGGGAUCAAGGGAGGUGAAACCCAAAAGAGUUAGCGCGGGUGCCCUGCGUGGGGUUGAAGCGUUAAGACGCAUCAGGUUAGUCUGGUAGU
rnacentral:tmRNA from 1 species